rnacentral:rRNA from 1 species
UACGUAGGGUGCAAGCGUUGUCCGGAAUUAUUGGGCGUAAAGAGCUCGUAGGCGGUCUGUCGCGUCGGCUGUGAAAACCCGGGGCUCAACCCCGGGCCUGCAGUCGAUACGGGCAGACUAGAGUGCGGUAGGGGAGACUGGAACUCCUGGUGUAGCGGUGAAAUGCGCAGAUAUCAGGAGGAACACCGGUGGCGAAGGCGGGUCUCUGGGCCGUAACUGACGCUGAGGAGCGAAAGCGUGGGGAGCGAACAGG